AACGAACGCUGGCGGCGUGCCUAAGCCAUGCAAGUCGAACGGGUUGUCGCAAGACAAUCAGUGGCGAACUGGUGAGUAAUACGUGGGUAAUCUGCCCGAGAGUGGGGAAUAGCCCUUCCAACGAGGGGGUAACACCGCAUAUUAUCGCGAAUCCGCAUGGAUUUGCGAUGAAAACAGGGGAUCGCAAGACCUUGUGCUCUCGGAUGAACCCGCGCUCCAUUAGCUAGUUGGUGAGGUAACGGCUCACCAAGGCGACGAUGGGUAGCCGGCCUGAGAGGGUGACCGGCCACACUGGGACUGAGAUACGGCCCAGACUCCUACGGGAGGCAGCAGGCGGGAAUAUUGGGCAAUGGACGAAAGUCUGACCCAGCGACGCCGCGUGAGGGAUGAAGCUUCUCGGAGCGUAAACCUCAAACGGAUAGGGACGAAAAGCCUAUCGGCUAAUAUCCGGUAGGCCUGACGGUACCUGUUACGAAGCUCCGGCUAACUCCGUGCCAGCAGCCG
rnacentral:rRNA from 1 species